AGAGUUUGAUCAUGGCUCAGGACGAACGCUGGCGGCGCGCCUAACACAUGCAAGUCGAACGAGCGAGAGAGAGCUUGCUUUCUCGAGCGAGUGGCGAACGGGUGAGUAACGCGUGAGGAACCUGCCUCAAAGAGGGGGACAACAGUUGGAAACGACUGCUAAUACCGCAUAAGCCCACGGCUCGGCAUCGAGCAGAGGGAAAAGGAGCAAUCCGCUUUGAGAUGGCCUCGCGUCCGAUUAGCUAGUUGGUGAGGUAACGGCCCACCAAGGCGACGAUCGGUAGCCGGACUGAGAGGUUGAACGGCCACAUUGGGACUGAGACACGGCCCAGACUCCUACGGGAGGCAGCAGUGGGGAAUAUUGCACAAUGGGGGAAACCCUGAUGCAGCGACGCCGCGUGGAGGAAGAAGGUCUUCGGAUUGUAAACUCCUGUUGUUGAGGAAGAUAAUGACGGUACUCAACAAGGAAGUGACGGCUAACUACGUGCCAGCAGCCGCGGUAAAACGUAGGUCACAAGCGUUGUCCGGAAUUACUGGGUGUAAAGGGAGCGCAGGCGGGAAGACAAGUUGGAAGUGAAAUCUAUGGGCUCAACCCAUAAACUGCUUUCAAAACUGUUUUUCUUGAGUAGUGCAGAGGUAGGCGGAAUUCCCGGUGUAGCGGUGGAAUGCGUAGAUAUCGGGAGGAACACCAGUGGCGAAGGCGGCCUACUGGGCACCAACUGACGCUGAGGCUCGAAAGUGUGGGUAGCAAACAGGAUUAGAUACCCUGGUAGU
rnacentral:rRNA from 1 species